rnacentral:rRNA from 1 species
CGACCGGCGCACGGGUGAGUAACACGUAUGCAACCUGGCCGUCACAGGUGGAUAACCGGAAGAAAUUCCGACUAAUACAGCAUAACACUCCUGAGGGACAUCCUUCGGGAGUCAAAGGAGGCAACUCCGGUGACGGAUGGGCAUGCGUCGCAUUAGGUAGUUGGUAGGGUAACGGCCUACCAAGCCGACGAUGCGUAGGGGUUCUGAGAGGAAGGUCCCCCACAUUGGAACUGAGACACGGUCCAAACUCCUACGGGAGGCAGCAG